rnacentral:rRNA from 1 species
AAUUCCAGUUUAUCCUGCUGGAGAGUGCUGCUAUCAAAAUCCGAUUUAGCCAUGCAAGUUACCUGAGAGGGGGCAAACUGCUGAGUAACACGUAGUUAAUCUGCCCUUAGCUCCUGAAUAACUUCGGGAAACUGAAGCUAAUAUGGGAUAGACGAAGGAGGCUGGAAUGCACUUUCGUUGAAAGUUUUCGGCUAAGGAUGAGACUGCGGCCUAUCAGGUUGUUGUUGGAGUAAAAGCCCAACAAGCCUAAGACGGGUAAGGGCCUUGAGAGAGGGAGCCCUCAGAAGGAAUCUGAGAUACUAUUCCUAGCCCUACGGGGUGCAGCAGGCGCGAAACUUUUACAAUGCUCGCAAGAGUGAUAAAGGGAUUUUGAGUGUCUUCGAUUUUCGGAGACUUUUACCAUCUGUAAAAAGGAUGAUGAAUAAGGACUGGGUAAGACUGGUGCCAGCAGCCGCGGUAAUACCAGCGGUCCAAGUGGGACUCAAUUUUACUGGGUCUAAAACAUCCGUAGCCGGUUUUGUAAGUUUCUUGUUAAAUUGUUGGGCUUAACCUAACAGCUGCAAGAAAUACUGUAAAGCUAGAGACUGGGAGACGUGAUGAGUACAGUAGGGGUAAUAGUAAAAUGUGUUAAUCCUUACUGGACUAGCAAUGGCGAAGGCACGUCACGAGAACAGAUCUGACGGUCAGGGAUGAAAGCGAGGGGCGCAAAGCGGAUUAGAUACCCGCGUAGUCCUCGCUGUAAACGCUGCCUACUAAACAUCGUGAUCUCCUCGAGAGAUGGCGGUGCUGAAGCGAAGGCGAAAGUAGGCUACCUGGGAAGUAUAGCCGCAAGGUCGAAACUUAAAGGAAUUGGCGGGGGAGCACUACAAGGGGUGACGCGUGCGGUUCAAUUAGAUUCUACCCCCUGAACCUCACCAGGAGCGACAGCAGAAUGAAGGUCAGUCUGAAGGGCUUACCUGACACGCUGAGAGUAGUUACAUAGCCGACGUCAGCCUGUGUCGUGAGAUGAUCUGUUAAAUCAGGUAACAGGCGAGACCUGUGUGCAUAGUUGCUAUUUGGUAAAAAGGCACUCUAUGCAGACUGCUCCAGCAAUGGAGAGGAAGGUGCAGGCAACGUUAGGUGGCAUGACCCAAAUCCCCUGGGCUACACGCGCGCGGCAAUGGUGAUAACAAUUGGUUGCAAUGCCGAAAGGCAAAGCUAAUCCCCUAAAUAUCAUCCUAGUCCAAAUUGAGGCUUGCAACUCAGCCUCAUGACGCUGGAAUCCCUAGUAAUCGAACUUUAGCAAAGUCCGGUGAAUACUGUCCCUGCUCCUUGCACACACCGCCCGUCAAACCAACCGAGUUAUGCUUUGAUGAAGUUCUUCGGAAAAGAAUCUCGGUAUGACAAGGUAGGUUAAGUCGUCACAAGGUAUCCGUAGGGGAACCUGCGGAUGGAUCACCUCCUAA